UUUACCCUACCCCUACGUAUAAAAAGAUAAUUUAGAAACCAGAAAAAGGGACCCCUUCACCGGAAAGAGAAAAACGGCGCCCAGCAGCUCCGUUCUGCUUCUUCUUCAUUUUUCUUCAACUCCCAAGCUGAAAUGAAGGACCCCCUCCUUCCUCUUCUCAUCUCACUAACACACACACACACACUCAUCUACACAUACUUAGAAACAUCUGAAAACAGAUUUUGAAAUUCAAAAAUUUCCUUUCUAAGAUCUGAAAUUUUCGGCUUCAAAAAAUAGAAAAAAAUUUGAUUUCGACACUCUAAAACAAUUAGUUUGUGUUUGUCGAUUCAAAGAGAUCUCCUACGUCGUUUCCUGGGUUUUCAAGCUGAAUCUAGUCCGUAAUUGGAGGAUGUAGAUGAGCUGUUUGCUUACUGACUUUGGAUGUGCUGGAAGCUGAGCUUCAUUAUACCUUUGCUUUGUGAUUUGUUACAUUUAAAUCUGUCAUAAACAAGGUAUUCUGUUUUUCUCUUCUCAUAAGUAUGUAAUUAUCAAUUUGUGAAUGCAAAAUAUGCUUUACUCAAGGUCUGUGAGCGUAGAUUAUGGUUCCUGAUUGUUUGUAUCGAAACACAUGGUUAUUGAUUAGUGCUUAUCUCAAUUUGAUGCUUAAAUUCUACUCAUAUGAGUAAUGUAUUUUCUGGAAAUUCAUGCUGAUUAGUACCUGCCAGACAAAUGGGAACGGGAAUAGGCAUGGAUAUAUGAGUUUGGAUUUGUUUCGAAUUUGUACUGCUAGUGAGAACCAGAAAUUUUAUUCUUGCGUGUUUGUGAGUUUAAAACUAGGAUCUGCAUUGAAAAAUGUGAAAUCCAGUGUGGUUGUAGUUCAAUUCUAGGACUUAAGGCAUCUGUUUAAUACAUACCUACUGUUCUAAAGAAACCAAAAAAAAAAGAGUUGAAGUCGCAUGUGGAUUUUGAUUGAAUUCUCGAAUUGUAGAGCAUUUGUCAAUUUCACAUUUUCGGAUUUUCAACAUUGUUGUAGGCAAGGUUGAAUAUUUUGCCUUGAUAUGCUUUCAAUGAAUAAUAGGGAAUUAGCUUUGUCAUGAUCCAUGUUUUACGUUAGUAUCACUUGCUCAGAGGUUUCGUGUUAAAUGUUUGCUGUCAUUAAUGGAAUGGUUCAUGGAUGUGGCUGAGUUGUAUGUUAAUUAUAUACCAUUGUGUGAGGUGAAUAGUCUACAAUAUGGAGUUCUACUGGUUAAUCUUUCAAAUUAUAUUUUCUUAUCUCACGUUGGGAUUCCCAUGAAAAUUAUAAUUGAUGCAUUUUGGUCUCUUUAUUGAACUUUGUUCGGGGUGAUUUCAUAACACCCUAGGUUUCGACUAUUGGAGUUAUUUCUUUCUGGGCAAGGAACAAGAAUGGGUUAUAAGGUGGGUCUUGAAGCAUAAGGAAUUUGGGCCAAGAAAUAGAUCAUAUUAGCUAGCCUAUUUACUCCCCAAUAAUAUCUUGUCCAUAAAUUCGGCAUCACAACAAUCUCAAAUUAGUUUAAGAGAUAAUUUACAUGAACAUCCGUAGUUUGCGUUAAGUUGAGGGCAAUCUGUUGAAAUUAGAAUCGAGGCAUGCUAUUUAGUUGAAUUUUCCAUGGCCCUCGCAAAUUUGAAAGUGCGUAGUUGCUUUAUGCGUGCUAUUUUAAUAAUUUACCUUCCUAAACUUGGGUGCGCAUUUAUGUGACCCAAAUCCAAAUCUCAACAAUGUUAGAUAAAAUGUGUUGCGGAUUGCGGGUGUAUUUAUGUGACGUGUUUCAAGACGCGUUUAUGUGACGUUGAAUUUUCCCUAAAAAAAUAUUUAAUUAAAAGCGGUUUUAAAGUUAAAAUGCACAUAGGCUAAAACAUGCAUUAAAAUCAGAUAAUAGGUCAAUUAUAACAGUUGAGCGACCGUGCUAGAACCACGGAACUCAGGAAUGCCUAACCCCUUCUCCCGGGUUAACAGAAUUCCUUACCCGGAUUUCUGUGUUCGCGGACUGUAAAACAGAGUCAAUCUUUUCCUCGAUUCGGGAUUUGAACCGGUGACUUGGGACACCAUAAAAUUAUCCCAAGUGGCGACUCUGAAUUUUUUUAAUAAAUAAAUCCCGUUUCGAUUGUCACUUUAAGUUGGAAAAAACUCCCUUAUAUACACUCUUCCGGGGGUGUAGACAAAAAGGAGGUAUGACAAUCAAUAGGGACUUUAUCGUAGGCUUACCUCGUACCCAACGUAAGUUCGAUUCGAUAUGGGUGAUUGUGGAUAGGCUUACAAAGUCAGCCCAUUUUCUGCCUGUUAGAACUACAUAUUUCUCAGAGGAUUAUGCGAGGCUUUAUAUCAAGGAGAUAGUAAGACUGCAUGGUGUCCCUGCAUCUAUUAUCUCGGAUAGAGGAGCUCAAUUUACAACUAAAUUUUGGAGGUCCUUCCAAAAGGGAUUGGGGACUCAUGUAAGUCUUAGUUUAACAUUUUAUCCCCAGACAGACGGACCGUCUGAGCGUACUAUUCAAACACUAGAGGAUAUGUUUUGAGCUUGUGUAAUAGACUUCAAAGGUAGCUAGGAUGAUCAUCUGCCGCUUAAUGAGUUCGCAAAUAAUAGUUACCAUUCUAGAUUCUGAUGGCUCCAUACAAAGCUCUUUAUGGACGGAAGUGUAGGUCGCCUAUAGGGUGGUUUGACGUUGGAGAAUCUGGAUUAUACGGGCCAGACCUGGUUCAUCAAGCCAUAGAAAAAGUAUAGUUGAUUCGGGGUCGACUAUUGACAGCUCAGAGUUGUCAGAAGUCAUAUUCUGACGUGCGGCGAUGAGACUUAGAGUUCGGGCUUGAUGAUUGGGUAUUCUUAAAGGUGUUGCCUAUGAAGGAUGAGAUGAGGUUUGGCAAGAAAGGAAAACUUAGCCCACAAUAUAUUGGGCCAAGUAGCUUAUGAGUUAGAAUUGCCCACGGAAUUGGAGUCUGUCCAUCUGGUUUUUCACGUAUCUAUGUUACGGAAGUGCAUUGGCGAUCUUACCCGAGUGGUGCCCACGAAUGAUGUACAUAUUACAAAAGACUUAUCAUACGAGGAAGUUCCGGUUGCCAUCCGAGACCAACAGAUCCGCAAGCUGUGGAAUAAGGAGGUAGCCUCCGUGAAAGAACUUUGGAGAAACAAAAAUAUGGAAGAAGUGACUUGGGAGGCCGAGGAAAAUAUGAAGUCUAGAUAUCCCUACUUAUUUCCUCCCCCAGAGAAGGGUCCGACUGAGACGUCAUAAUCAUAAGAUACGUGUAUAAAUUCUUGUGUUGGUUCUUGUCGUUCGUUAUGUUAGGCCAUUGUCGUUAUUCAUAAUUAUGAGCUUGUCUGUCGUUAGGUUAUUAAGCUUCUACGGGGAAAGUUGGUAGUGGUGUUGUUAUAGAGGCGACCUUGGCAAGGUUAUAUAGAUCACAGAGAGUUAAACAUUCGAGGACGAAUGUUUCUAGGGGGAGGGGGAGGAUGUUACAUCUCGCGUUUUCGUACGUUAAAAUUUUGUUUUCAGUUAACCGACGUAGACUCGGGGAUGAGAUCAUCUUGACGUUAACAUACUUACGCUAUUUAUAACGAGCGAUAAACAAGUGUUAUGAAGGAUAAAGGGGUACACGGAUUAAAGAAAACGAGUUUCAUUAAAAGUGGCCAAUUUAGAAUAAAAUAUGGGUCGAGCGAUAAUACUCGAUAAUUAUGAACUAGUACCUUGCAAUGUACCAUAUGACCACGAUAAUAUAAUGUAUAGAGUAUAUAUAUAGUAUAUUAAAAAUAAAUAGAAUUUUAAGUAAUUUGAGGCAAUUUUUUAAUUAUUAUUAUGCGAGUAAUUGAUUAAUUACCGGGUAACAAGACAUUACCUAAUUACCUAAUAAGUGGAUAAAAAUAAAAUAUCCCACCCCUACCCCACAUGGAAACUAGCCACAUUAUCAAGAAAUGACUAAGAGUCAUUCCUUGAUUAGGUGUCAAAUGGAUACAACUUUCCUUUCAUUUGUUUCAAGACUUUGGAUAUCCAAGUCUUUCCAAUUCAAUUCAUUUUGAAGGCUUGGCAUUUAAAAGACAUAGAACGUUUCUUUCUGACCUUAAAAACAAAGUCUCAUUUUCACUUCCAUUACAAAAUACAAAUAGUAGCAAGAUUAAGAUUUUGUUCAAUUUAUUCCAAGAAACGUGAAGGAUCAGUAGAUUACCGUUCUUGAUUUGGACAAUAGGGACUAGCGUCCCAAAAUCUAGACAAGCAGAAACAAUUUCGUCCCAAUUUUAUAGAAUCCAAGCAUCAAUUUCGUUCAAGUUCAAAUAAGCAGAAGCUUCAUUUUGUGCAAAUAAUUCAAGGAACAGGUACACUAAGGUCCUUCCUUUUUUCUUUUGACAUGGUCCAAACUAUACUGAAGAAACUAGCAAACACACCGUUUUCAUAAAUUAUUCGUUCAUAGAAAUAGUAGGGGUGUCUAUAUUCUUGAUUCCCCAUGAAAAUUAUUAUUAUCUUCUGUUUAUGAAAAAAGUUUAUCUAGAAGGAAUUGUGAGAUUAUUACAUAUUUUUCAUGCAUUUCACUUAUUUAUACAUGUGCAGUGACUCAUGAGCAGAUGGUGUUAUAUACACGUAUAUAUGUAAAUAUAUGUAUAUGGGUUAUAGGAAAAGGUUACGGUGUUAUAUACGUACCACCACCUAAUUAGCUGGUAUAUAUUGAUAAUGUUGCCCACAGUGGCCGAGACGAUAUGAUGGGAUGCCCUCAGUGGCUUGAUGAUAUUAUGUACACCCAUACCUAUGCAUAACACGAUAUUUAUAUGCACGUGCAUGACAUUAUAAACGUUUCAGAAUUUACAAAGUUAUUCAGAUUUAAAAAUGUGUUUCCUUAUUUCAUGUUUCAUCUAUGUCUUUUACGUACUAAUUUUCAUGCCUUACAUACUCAGUACAUUUUUCGUACUGACAUCGUAUUUCAUGGGGCCUGCGUUUCAUGCCCGCAGGUGCAGGUAGGCAAGCUGACAGUCCCCCUUCUUAGGAUCCCUGAUCAGUGAGAGUUGGCAUGCUCCACUUGAUCCGGGGCUGCUUUUGAUUUUGGUACGAUACAUUUGUAUGUGUAUAUAUAUAUGUAAGUGAGUAUGACAUGACUCAGUCCCGUCUUUGUACAACUAUGUUUCUAUUAGAGGUCUGUAGACAUUAUGUCUAGUUGGAUUGUAUGUGGCCUUGUCGGCUUUCAGUUUUCGAUGUAUAGUUGUCUAUAGCAGCCUUGCCGGCUCGCCCAUUGUAUUCUGCAUGUAUACGUACAUAUGCCUUGAUGGAAGGUUUCCUUUAUGUAUGUUAUUUUCGU
rnacentral:lncRNA from 1 species